GUAAGGCUGAGUGGCAGAAGGUGGAUCUGAGUGCUGUUGGGCUGGACUGAUCUCAGGGCUUUUUUGUAAGGCACAGCACCUUUUCCCUUUUGCUUUUUGUAUAACGUGGUGUGUGUUACCUGGUGUUGCUGCAGAGCUGCCAGUUGCAAUGGCCGCAUCUCACAGCAGGUAAACAGAUUUUUGCUUUCGGGUGGUUUUUUUUAAGUCAUUUUUGAGAAAUGUAAAACCCAAAGGGGUUUGAUGCCCACUGGGACUGCUUACAGGUCGGGUGGCACAGCCUCGGCUGGGGCAGAAAGGAGCAUCAGAGCUUUAAUUUGGCAAGAUCUUUAAAUGGUGGCACACAGUGAUGAUGAAAGGGUGUGUGAGGAUGCAACUCUUCUCUCGUUUGGUGUUAAGCAGCCAAAUCCACCUACCAGCAUUCGCUGAGAGGUGUUUGUUUCACUCGUUAUUUACUGCAAGGCAGCAGCCAGAGAUAUUCAGCUCUGAAUUAAAAAAAAGUCCUGUCUUUGCUCUUCUAAUGAGCUCUGGUAAAUUUGCUCCCUUUUGUUGUCCUGGGGUCAAUCAAUUAGUGAACGCCUAGGGAGAAGCCUAAUUAAGCUCAGAUACCAUAACAGAGGUUUCACCCCCUUGCCCCCCCCGCCUAUACGUAUCCUCCUUUACACAUCUGGAUAAAAGCUUCCUUGCAAAGCCGGGAGAGCCAUCGCUUCAAGCUGCGUCCCCGGGAGCACGUCUGAGCUCCCAAAAACCAUUGCAAACUCUUGCAUCAUGCAGAAGCAGGGGAAGCCGAAGCAGCUGGGAAGUGAGAAGAUCCAUUCUGGCAGCCGUGCCACAGGGACAGGGCGUCACUCAGAACAACAAAAGGUGUUGGCAGCGAGAAGUGCGGUGCCACGAUUUCUUCUCCCUCUCACAGAGGCAGGAUUUCUCCCCGGGAGCCCUGCGCCAGCCAUUCAGAAGUAGCCUGAAAUCUGGCUCCGGCUGCACGCCUUUAUUAAUGACAGAAGCCCUCGAGGGGUGGGAUCCAGAGGCAU
ensembl:lncRNA